rnacentral:rRNA from 1 species
CGAACGAUGAACCACUUUCCGGUGGGGAUUAGUGGCGAACGGGUGAGUAACACGUGGGCAAUCUGCCCUGCACUCUGGGACAAGCCCUGGAAACGGGGUCUAAUACCGGAUACGAGUUCCACGGGCAUCCGUGGGACUGGAAAGCUCCGGCGGUGCAGGAUGAGCCCGCGGCCUAUCAGCUUGUUGGUGAGGUAAUGGCUCACCAAGGCGACGACGGGUAGCCGGCCUGAGAGGGCGACCGGCCACACUGGGACUGAGACACGGCCCAGACUCCUACGGGAGGCAGCAGUGGGGAAUAUUGCACAAUGGGCGCAAGCCUGAUGCAGCGACGCCGCGUGAGGGAUGACGGCCUUCGGGUUGUAAACCUCUUUCAGCAGGGAAGAAGCGAAAGUGACGGUACCUGCAGAAGAAGCGCCGGCUAACUACGUGCCAGCAGCCGCGGUAAUACGUAGGGCGCAAGCGUUGUCCGGAAUUAUUGGGCGUAAAGAGCUCGUAGGCGGCUUGUCGCGUCGGUUGUGAAAGCCCGGGGCUUAACCCCGGGUCUGCAGUCGAUACGGGCAGGCUAGAGUUCGGUAGGGGAGAUCGGAAUUCCUGGUGUAGCGGUGAAAUGCGCAGAUAUCAGGAGGAACACCGGUGGCGAAGGCGGAUCUCUGGGCCGAUACUGACGCUGAGGAGCGAAAGCGUGGGGAGCGAACAGGAUUAGAUACCCUGGUAGUCCACGCCGUAAACGGUGGGCACUAGGUGUGGGCAACAUUCCACGUUGUCCGUGCCGCAGCUAACGCAUUAAGUGCCCCGCCUGGGGAGUAC